UCGAGCGAGCUUGCCUAGAUGAAUUUGGUGCUUGCACCAGACGAAACUAGAUACAAGCGAGCGGCGGACGGGUGAGUAACACGUGGGUAACCUGCCCAAGAGACUGGGAUAACACCUGGAAACAGAUGCUAAUACCGGAUAACAACACUAGACGCAUGUCUAGAGUUUAAAAGAUGGUUCUGCUAUCACUCUUGGAUGGACCUGCGGUGCAUUAGCUAGUUGGUAAGGUAACGGCUUACCAAGGCAAUGAUGCAUAGCCGAGUUGAGAGACUGAUCGGCCACAUUGGGACUGAGACACGGCCCAAACUCCUACGGGAGGCAGCAGUAGGGAAUCUUCCACAAUGGACGCAAGUCUGAUGGAGCAACGCCGCGUGAGUGAAGAAGGGUUUCGGCUCGUAAAGCUCUGUUGGUAGUGAAGAAAGAUAGAGGUAGUAACUGGCCUUUAUUUGACGGUAAUUACUUAGAAAGUCACGGCUAACUACGUGCCAGCAGCCGCGGUAAUACGUAGGUGGCAAGCGUUGUCCGGAUUUAUUGGGCGUAAAGCGAGUGCAGGCGGUUCAAUAAGUCUGAUGUGAAAGCCUUCGGCUCAACCGGAGAAUUGCAUCAGAAACUGUUGAACUUGAGUGCAGAAGAGGAGAGUGGAACUCCAUGUGUAGCGGUGGAAUGCGUAGAUAUAUGGAAGAACACCAGUGGCGAAGGCGGCUCUCUGGUCUGCAACUGACGCUGAGGCUCGAAAGCAUGGGUAGCGAACA
rnacentral:rRNA from 1 species